ACAAGUGGCUGCUGUGUAGAGACACUGGAAAUAUCGUUGGAUCCAUCUCUUGUGAUCACGAGGAUGGUUUCCACUCUAGCUUCCUGCAGUUAGUCUGGGCGGAUGGUGAAGGAAAGGGGUUUUGCUACAGAUAGCUUGAGCUGACAAUGACUUUGUGAUAAAAACCUACAGCCAGCAUUCCAUAGAUAAGAUGUGAAUUUCCCCCACACGAGAGACACCAUCUUGGAUAAGUGUUUUGAUUUUGGAACCAGCAAGUUGCUUUGAAGUGCAUUAUAUUGUAUUGAGCAUUGACAGCCGCAGACUGUCAAAGGGGGCGGUGUUGCAAUCUACUGCAGAGAUAGCCUGCAGAGUUCUGUCUUACUAUCCAGGUAUGUACCCAAACAAUUCGAGCUUCUACUUCUACUUUUAAAAAUCCACCUUUCUAGAAACAAGUCUCUCACUGUUGCCGCUUGCUAUUGACCAGCCUUGGUGUGCCCUGGACACCAUAUGUGAAUUGAUUGCCCCCAAUCUAUCUUCAGAGCUCGUGCUGCUAGAUGACCUAAACUGGGACAUGCUUAACACCCCUGGCCAUCCUACAAUAUAAGCUUGAUGCCCUCAAUCUCACACAAAUUAUCAAUGAACCCACCAGAUACAACCCCAAAUCCGUAAGCACGGGC
rnacentral:lncRNA from 1 species